rnacentral:rRNA from 1 species
UACAGAGGGGGCGAGCGUUGUUCGGAAUUAUUGGGCGUAAAGAGCUCGUAGGCGGCUUGUCACGUCGGGUGUGAAAGACCGGGGCUUAACUCCGGUUCUGCAUUCGAUACGGGCUAGCUAGAGUGUGGUAGGGGAGAUCGGAAUUCCUGGUGUAGCGGUGAAAUGCGCAGAUAUCAGGAGGAACACCGGUGGCGAAGGCGGAUCUCUGGGCCAUUACUGACGCUGAGGAGCGAAAGCGUGGGGAGCGAACAGG